UAUAGCUGUCCCCUGAGAGGCUCUGCCAGAGCCUGAAAAAUACAGAGGUGAUGUUCAAAGCCAACCAUCAAACUAAGCAUGGGAACCCCAGUGGAGGAGGAAGCAGAAAAGUAGAUCAGAGUGAAUGAGAACACAAGUAGGAAUGUUCUCUCAGAAGCAUGAAGCAAGAAUCUGGUGCCUAGAGAACGGAAUGGAACAAGUGGGAACCGCAUCCCCAGUCUAUCAGUGACUCGAAUACUCCUCUUUUGAAGAUCAUCACGGCCAUCUGUCUCCACAAGAAGAAUCAUAUAAGAAGUGACAACGGCACGCC